rnacentral:rRNA from 1 species
AACGAACGCUGGCGGCAUGCCUAACACAUGCAAGUCGAACGAGACCUUCGGGUCUAGUGGCGCACGGGUGCGUAACGCGUGGGAACCUGCCCUUAGGUUCGGAAUAACUCCCCGAAAGGGGUGCUAAUACCGGAUAAUGUCUUCGGACCAAAGAUUUAUCGCCUUUGGAUGGGCCCGCGUUGGAUUAGCUAGUUGGUAGGGUAAAAGCCUACCAAGGCGACGAUCCAUAGCUGGUCUGAGAGGAUGAUCAGCCACACUGGGACUGGGACACGGCCCAGACUCCUACGGGAGGCAGCAGUGGGGAAUAUUGGACAAUGGGCGGAAGCCUGAUCCAGCACUGCCGCGUGAGUGAUGAAGGCCUUAGGGUUGUAAAGCUCUUUUACCCGGGAUGAUAAUGACAGUACCGGGAGAAUAAGCUCCGGCUAACUCCGUG